GCCUAGCCGUAAACCUUUAUUUACAUUUAAACCGCCGGGGAACUACGAGCUAAGCUUAAAACCCAAAGGACUUGACGGUACCCCACAUCCCCCUAGAGGAGCCUGUCCUACAAUCGAUAACCCACGUUUAACCUCACCACUUCUAGUUAAUCAGCCUGUAUACCUCCGUCGUCAGCUUACCCCGUGAGCGCAAAUUAGUGAGCCCAAUGCUUAUUUAUCAAUACGUCAGGUCAAGGUGCAGUACAUGAAGUGGGAAGAGAUGGGCUACACUUUCUACCUUAGAAAAAACGAAAAACUACCUAUGAAAUCUAGUUAGAAGGUGGAUUUAGCAGUAAAAAAAAGUCAAAACAUUAUUUUUAACCUGGCACUGGAGUGCGU
rnacentral:rRNA from 1 species